UUCCCGCUCCCCGUUUGUACCGCCAGUCUAGGAAGAUCUCUCAAUACUCCCUAACUUGCCAUUAAUAUGUGUCCUUUCCCUUUGAUAUCUCACCUCACAAUAUUAAAAACUGUAGGUAAGAAGCGCAGUAUGAUAACAUAGGCCGUCAUCGUCAACUGUUGCUCGUUCAGUCCUCCCAUUAGCUACCCGUAGUUUGCUGCGGUGGGAGUAGAAUUAUUGUGUUCAGUUUCUGUGUUUCUUGUGUCUGUAUUUCUAAUCGUCGAGUGUUCCUCUGCUGUGGGAUGGCAGCGGCUGCACUCAGGACGUGGAAGGGAGUAUGGUGAACAGGAAGGAGGCAAGAACUGGUGUAAUGGUAUAGUGUGUGGUGGCGUCAAGCUAGGCGGGAGUGACGAACCUCCGGCUUAUAACACGUAGCAUCAAGACACUGCCUUGAGAAACAAUAUACCAUCAAGACACUGCCUUGAGAAACAAUAUACUGGUUAAGGUAUGUGCGUCUCCAAAGGUUAAGACGAGUACAUAACGAAGACUUGAUGAGGCUUAACUAGUGGUAACGAGGUACGCGAUACCACCUGUGGUUCGUGGGGUGCAAGUCUCCAUCGGUGCAGGUCGCCUCGCCUCCCAGACCGAGUGUUGUGGACGGGCUGGUGUGGCGGGGACGGCGGCGCUACUAACUCAACGCGUAUCUAAGUAAUGAAAGGCAAGUGUAUGGGCGAGCCUGGAUUAUCCUUGAGUUGAUAAAAGGAUCGCAAAGGACAACAAAUAGCAACACACCCUUAGGUCCUGCCCUGUUGGAUUGCACUGCCAUACACUGACUGACCUAACUAUAGAAAUGAUAGGACAGCAUAGUGAAGAGAUGGGACAAAAAAAAAAAAAUCGAGAGACAGAAGAGCACGAUUUGUUGAGUGAUAGAACAGAGCAAUGUUGAGAUAGCGAAGCACAGUUUAUAGAUAGUACAGCACUGUUGAUGAAUAGAAUAACGAUAAAACAACAUAAUUUAAAGGUAGAACAACGUAAUUAAGAAAUAGAACAGCACCGUUUAGAUACAGAAGAACAUAGUAAAGCUCUGUUGAAAAGCAGGACACCACACAAAGGAAAACAAAACCGUUAAGUCAAAGCAGAACAUUUGAUUAAGAUCACAGUUAAAAGGCAGAACCACACACAGUUUACUCUUACAUUCACAUUCUCCAUUAUUAUUAUGCGUUAUUCUAUGCCCUUCUCCAUUUAUGAAUUUAUCUAUCUUCUAAAGCUCCCUACCGACUCUGCACUAACAACCUGAUCAGUGAGUCUAUUUCAUUCAUGUACCUCUCUGUAAAGCGAUUUAUUUUUAUUUCCUGAAAAGUCACUCAAAUAGUUUGGUAGAUGAAUGGAAUACACUCAGUAAUCAGAUUGUUAGUGUCGAGUCUUCAGGGAGCCUUGAAAGGAGAUUACUCGUAGACAAAUUUGUGGAUGGUGAUGAUGGGUAGAAAUAAGAAGGUAGGUUGUAUAUAGGGACUGCCACGUGUAGGCCUGAUGGUUUCUCACAGGUUCCCUUGUGUUUUCAUGUGAAGUAUAAUGUUCGAGAGUUAGUGACCGUGUAUGAUGUGAUGGCAUAUUGUAUACGUUAUUAAUUGUUGUUUUUGGAUGUUUUAUAGAAAUUAGCACUUUUAUAAUAUUUGAUUAAAGAAUAUUGAUAGUUUAAUUAUUGCAUGGUGUUUUAUAAGUUUUCAUUCUUUUACGCGCAUAUGAGCUGGCUCGUAAUACAGUUUUAGUAUAUGAAGACAUAAUUAGUCUGAUUUUUCACAGUUAUAUCGGCAAAGAAACGCUAGAAAUGUAAGCAGUGUGUGUUAGCAUUUGUGAAUUUAAAUUAAAUUCAUGUUUUGGUUGCUGACUCUUGUGGAGUACAAUAAGGAUGAAAUAUUUUAAUGUACUGUAAAAUUUUGUGGCUAAUAAACUAAUUGUGUCACUCCAUCUAAAA